AUGAAUGAUCAGCCAUUAGCAGGUCGGGUGUGAACUGUGAAAAUGGGCUCUCACACCAAUGACUGCAGGAGGCCUUGAUUUGCUUUAGCCUAGCUUAGCAACCUGCUAGCAAGGACCGAGCGGUUGUUAACACUGUGGCAGUGCGUGAGCUAGCGUUAGCCUGCCCAAUGUAAUGCAGUGGAAUACGGACUAGUGUAGCGUGUUGAAGCCCAGUCUAGUGGAGUGCUGUGUGCAAGAUCAUAGUAAGACUCCUUGCUAGCAUAUGCUUGUGUUUAAUGCAGCGACCUGCUUCUGCAUGGAGGUAAAUGAAGCUUUUAAGCAGGGCGGAGGGAAGGGGGACCGCUGAAAAGAUUAAUUGACUUUCUACAGAGCUUCACUUAUCCUCCUCUGGCACCUUUGACUUGCUAUGGUUAUAGCUGCUACCCCAGCAGGACCCCUUCUUGUCAGCCACUAAUGCUGUGACUGACAUCCAUCAACUAUGAGCCACCACAAGAUGGGUAAACAUGAUAGAGGGCAAGAACUGGUUGUGUCCCGGCCAUUUGAAUGACUCCUCAACUGAAAUGAGGGUAACCUGGAUGGCGACGUCAACACAGACCUCAAUUUAGACAAAAUGAAGGAGGACAAGGAUGACACCACCUUCCAGCAGUUGACCUGGCGUGUAUUUACAUUUCUCAGGAGGUGCACAUCAGAAGAAAGGGUUCCGGUUAUGUUGGAUUAUGGCUCUAAAGGGACAACUUCAAGUAAGCAGUGGAAAGAGAGCAAAAGGAUGGACUAUG